CAUCCUCCAAGGCUAAAUACUCCUGACUGACCGAUAGUGAACCAGUACCGUGAGGGAAAGGCGAAAAGAACCCCGGCGAGGGGAGUGAAAAAGAACCUGAAACCGUGUACGUACAAGCAGUGGGAGCACAGGUUUACCUGUGUGACUGCGUACCUUUUGUAUAAUGGGUCAGCGACUUAUAUUCUGUAGCAAGGUUAACCGAAUAGGGGAGCCGGAGGGAAACCGAGUCUUAAUUGGGCGUUAAGUUGCAGGGUAUAGACCCGAAACCCGGUGAUCUAGCCAUGGGCAGGUUGAAGGUUGGGUAACACUAACUGGAGGACCGAACCGACUAAUGUUGAAAAAUUAGCGGAUGACCUGUGGCUGGGGGUGAAAGGCCAAUCAAACCGGGAGAUAGCUGGUUCUCCCCGAAAGCUAUUUAGGUAGCGCCUCGUGAAUUCAUCUCCGGGGGUAGAGCACUGUUUCGGCUAGGGGGCCAUCCCGGCUUACCAACCCGAUGCAAACUGCGAAUACCGGAGAAUGUUAUCACGGGAGACACACGGCGGGUGCUAACGUCCGUCGUGAAGAGGGAAACAACCCAGACCGCCAGCUAAGGUCCCAAAGUCAUGGUUAAGUGGGAAACGAUGUGGGAAGGCCCAGACAGCCAGGAUGUUGGCUUAGAAGCAGCCAUCAUUUAAAGAAAGCGUAAUAGCUCACUGGUCGAGUCGGCCUGCGCGGAAGAUGUAACGGGGCUAAACCAUGCACCGAAGCUGCGGCAGCGAACGUAUCACUUAAAGCGAUUCAGCGGGUUACGAUUGACGGAGCGAAGCGACGUCAAAGCGUAUACAAAGUCGAGUCGGUUUAAGGAUACGUUCGUUGGGUAGGGGAGCGUUCUGUAAGCCUGUGAAGGUGGCCUGUGAGGGUUGCUGGAGGUAUCAGAAGUGCGAAUGCUGACAUAAGUAACGAUAAAGCGGGUGAAAAGCCCGCUCGCCGGAAGACCAAGGGUUCCUGUCCAACGUUAAUCGGGGCAGGGUGAGUCGACCCCUAAGGCGAGGCCGAAAGGCGUAGUCGAUGGGAAACGGGUUAAUAUUCCCGUACUUGGUGUUACUGCGAAGGGGGGACGGAGAAGGCUAUGUUGGCCGGGCGACGGUUGUCCCGGUUUAAGCGUGUAGGUGUGUGUUCCAGGUAAAUCCGGUUCACUUUAACACUGAGGCGUGAUGACGAGGCACUACGGUGCUGAAGCAACAAAUGCCCUGCUUCCAGGAAAAGCCUCUAAGCAUCAGGUAACAUCAAAUCGUACCCCAAACCGACACAGGUGGUCAGGUAGAGAAUACCAAGGCGCUUGAGAGAACUCGGGUGAAGGAACUAGGCAAAAUGGUGCCGUAACUUCGGGAGAAGGCACGCUGACACGUAGGUGAAGUGAUUUACUCACGGAGCUGAAGUCAGUCGAAGAUACCAGCUGGCUGCAACUGUUUAUUAAAAACACAGCACUGUGCAAACACGAAAGUGGACGUAUACGGUGUGACGCCUGCCCGGUGCCGGAAGGUUAAUUGAUGGGG
rnacentral:rRNA from 1 species